rnacentral:rRNA from 1 species
GAUGAACGCUGGCGGCGUGCCUAAUACAUGCAAGUCGAGCGAACGGACGAGAAGCUUGCUUCUCUGAUGUUAGCGGCGGACGGGUGAGUAACACGUGGAUAACCUACCUAUAAGACUGGGAUAACUUCGGGAAACCGGAGCUAAUACCGGAUAAUCUUUUGAACCGCAUGGUUCAAAAGUGAAAGACGGUCUUGCUGUCUCUUAUAGAUGGAUCCGCGCUGCAUUAGCUAGUUGGUAAGGUAACGGCUUACCAAGGCAACGAUGCAUAGCCGACCUGAGAGAGUGAUAGGCGACACUGGAACGUAGACACGGUCCAGACUCCUACGGGAGGCAGCAGUAGGGAAUCGGCCGCAAUGGGCGAGAGCCUGACGGAGCAACGGCGCGUGAGUGAUGAAGGUCUUCGGAGCGUAAAACUCUGUUAUGAGGGAAGAACAGAUGUGUAAGUAACUGUGCACAUCGUGACGGUACCUAAUCAGAAAGCCACGGCUAACUACGUG